rnacentral:tRNA from 1 species
GCCUGGGUGGUUCAAUCGGUUAAGCGUCUGACUUCAGCUCAGGUCAUGAUCUUGCGGGUCCGUAGGUUCGAACCCCACAUCAGGCU